GCGCGAAAACUUUGCAAUGCGGGAAACCGUGACAAGGGAACUCUGAGUGCCCGUAAAAUCGGGCUGUCCAUCGGUUUAAAUAACCGGUGAAGAAAGGGCCGGGCAAGACCGGUGCCAGCCGCCGCGGUAAUACCGGCGGCUCGAGUGGUGGCCACUAUUACUGGGCUUAAAGCGUUCGUAGCUGGUCUGUUAAGUCUCUGGGGAAAUCUUCCGGCUUAACCGGAAGGCGUCUCAGGGAUACUGGCAGACUAGGGACCGGGAGAGGUGAGUGGUACUCCAGGGGUAGGA
rnacentral:rRNA from 1 species